GAUGAAGAACGCAGCGAAAUGCGAUAAGUAAUGUGAAUUGCAGAAUUCAGUGAAUCAUCGAAUCUUUGAACGCACCUUGCGCUCCUUGGUAUUCCGAGGAGCAUGCCUGGUUGAGUGUCAUUAAUAUAUCAACCUUCUCUUUUUUGAGUUGUUUGGAUGUGGGGGUUUGCUGGCCUCUUAAAUGAUUCAGCUCCCCUGAAAUGCAUUAGCAGAACAACCUGUUCAUUAGCGUGAUAAUUAUCUAUGCUAUUGAAUGUGAGGGCAGUUCAGCUUUCUAACCGUCCUUGGACAAUUCAUCAUUAAUGUGACCUCAAAUCAGGUAGGACUACCCGCUGAACUUAAGCAUAUCAAUAAGCGGAGGA
rnacentral:misc_RNA from 1 species